rnacentral:rRNA from 1 species
CCCUUAGAUGUUCUGGGCCGCACGCGCGCUACACUGAUGAAUUCAACAAGUCUUAACCUUGGCCGAUAGGUCUGGGUAAUCUUUGAACGCUGUUCGUGAUUGGGAUAGACCUUUGCAAUUAUGGGUCUUCAACGAGGAAUUCCUAGUAAACGCAAGUCAUCAGCUUGCAUUGAUUACGUCCCUGCCCUUUGUACACACCGCCCGUCGCACCUACCGAUUGAAUGGUCCGGUGAAAUCUCGGGACGGCGGCUUGGUCGCUUGCGUCCGACUGCUGAAACUUGAUUAAACCAUAUCAUUUAGAGGAAGGUGAAGUCGUAACA